AGGACGAACGCUGGCGGCGUGCUUAACACAUGCAAGUCGAGCGGUGAUCCUCCUUCGGGAGGUGAUCAGCGGCGAACGGGUGAGUAACACGUGGGCAACCUGCCCCCCACACUGGGAUAACCUCGGGAAACCGGGGCUAAUACCGGAUACGACCUCGAGCGGCAUCUCUUGAGGUGGAAAGCUCCGACGGUGAGGGAUGGGCCCGCGGCCUAUCAGCUUGUUGGUGGGGUAAUGGCCUACCAAGGCGACGACGGGUA
rnacentral:rRNA from 1 species